rnacentral:rRNA from 1 species
AUGAAAAGACAUCUGUUUGCGUAUUUGUUGUGGCUCCUCGGGAAUCUAUUUCCAAAUUCACAUGGGGACGUUGUUGUCCCUGGUCUCAUCUACAUUGCAGAGAAUAUGGUAGAUGAACCUUUACCCGAGCAGCCAAAAUACAGCUUCGGUUCUGCCAUGCUAUCUCAUACACACAGAGGCUUGUGUGAUGCCACGCAAAAAACCUCUUUCGCACAAAAAGCUCCAUUACUUUGUGUCGCCUAUGAGUUUCUACAGUUGUGGUCCUGGGAAUACCUCCCUGUAGGACGACCUCGUAUAGUACAACCCGUAUACCCAUAUGACUUUAGCGAGGGUGCCAGCGCAACUAUGGCCACCAGGUGGACAAAGGCACGGAAACGUUGGUCUCCAGAUAUUGCGAAAAAUUGUUACCCUAUGUACCACCAGCAGUUUGAGAUACUUGAUGAGGCAGAAGUCACAUGGAACCCGUGGACUCAGGACCAGCUACAAAUGGUCUUUGAUGCUCGACACUUCACACCAGGCAUGUUGACCGAUAGUGCAUUCUGGCUGACUCGCUGCAACUUAUUGUUCCUAUGGUGUGUUGAGCCUUACAACCCAAAGCGUGUAAUGAGACAGUUCGGUCUCUAUCAAGAAAUUCCACCACCUUUUCCCAGACGUAUCGACGAGGAGACACAUAAGCUAACCAAUAUGGGCAGGGGUUGGAGUUUAUACGAUUGGAGGGAAGAGAACAUUGAAUGGGUACACAAGUGGGAAAAUGAAGCGCUAGCAGAUAUAGUGCAUCAACUUAGACCAUACGAUGGAAGUACAGAUCAAGCGUACAAGCAGUGGUACUGCAUGAACACACGUGCUAGCCUAGCCAGUCAGCCAACUACUAUACCAACACAUCUCACACACGAGGAGCAGGCGCGGAGACAUGUUGAGCUGCAUGCAGCUUAUUAUCAUGACCAGAUGCUUCAAAAUUGCAAUGAAGUAGGGCAGAUGGCUACGGAUAGCAUGCCGGCCCAGGGCCCAUCUCACAAGACAUUCCAGAAACGUUUUCAACAAUACGUGGCAAAGAAGUUCAGAUGCGGUAGAGGCGACGACGUUGUCACUGGAGCAUACAACAUGCCGGUAGCGAGGUCAGCUAGACCGAGUGCGGCGCCGUCGUCCAGACCGAGCGAGGCGCGUACAAGCCAUGGGCAGUGCGGGGAGGGUCCGAGUACUAGAACGACAUUGCCACGACAUGACUCAUCUCUGCCACUGCAUCGCUCUUUUUCGAUGCAGCUUCGUCAGGGGCAGACUUCUUAG